CUGGAGACCACUUGGGUUUCCUCACUUGAAAAAGCUCAGAGGAACCUUUACAACUCCUAAUGAAAAGCUGCAGCAAGGAGCUGAAAUUAAGUCAGCAGAGUUCAUGAUUUGUCUUGGACCAGAGCCUAAUUCAGUUUAUAAUGCGAGGUCUAUGGUGGAGUCCCAGCAUCAGUCUUUCUCCCAUGAACCUCAGCUUCUGUAACAGAUUCCCUGCUGUUUCCUUCAAUGACCUCCUGACUGUCUUCAAAUCCCAUUUCAAGAGCGAUCUUUUCUCCCUGGCCUCUGACUCCUCAUCCGGUAUCUGUGGAUCCAACUAUCUAAAAAUAGACCUUAUACAGCCAUCAACCCCUCUUCCCUGAAAAGUUCAGCUGUGGGACAUUCCUACAUGGUGUAAGAGAUCUCAAAUGAGAUCCUUUUGCUGAAGGUUGAAAGUAUUGGGCAAAAUAUAACCUUUGCUAUCAAGUCAUUUUGGCUUUCCUGGAACAGCGUAUUAAGAAUAUGUGCCCAGUUCUACCAAGAAACUGUAGUCAUAAACUAGGUAAAAAAAAAGAGAACAACAACAUCUACAACAGCAAAAUCCUGCCAGUGAUCUAUGAUGAAAUUUAACCUCAUCUCAGCAGAAUGAUCUUGUUGUUCUGAAGAAGGCUUCUCUGGCUUUAUCACACAAAGAUCAGUUAGAAAUAUUAGUUCAAAUCACAGAAUGACUGAAUUACAUAGAAUCUUGGUGGUUCUGGGCUCUGCCUUCAUUUGUCUGAGGUAAAUACAUAGACUUUUGGCUUUUUUUUUUUUAAUUUUACUUUAAAAGGUCUUGCAUGGAGAAAAAAUGUUCAGUGGUCUAUACCAUGAUCAGCAUAGAUCAAAGUGUUCUUGACCCAAAUUACCCCUUCCCAUCAGCCAAAGUAGAGAGUAUCCUUGGGGCUACAAUGGUAUGGCAGCUAGGACUUAGACUUUCUAACUGGAGCUGUAUGCAUAUAUCACAACAUUAAACUGCUUUGGGCCAAAUUCCUUCAUGUAAAUAUGAAGCAUAAUUAUUUUUGUAUUUAAGCUGCCUAGGAGUUGGGCAAUAUGUACAUUCAUAUGGCACCAUAUAGAUCUCUCAGAUGAUCCUGGAGUCAAUACAGAGCUGCAGAAGUUUUGCUGUGCGUUCAAAGCCUGGACAAACAGGAGAAGAAAUGCUCUCUGCAGUAUUCUUGGGCAUCAUCAAAGUUCACAGACAUUCACAGUGAGGAAGAGAUGAAUCAUAAACUCUUACGUGAGAUUCUGAGGGAGGAAAGAGAAACAGUAUCUGCUGUUUAGAGAUUCAAUUAGAUACUCUUUUUGGGAGAGCAGGAUUUCUAGGCCUCUUAUAAAUAGCAGGCCGCAUCUCAGCUUGAUUACUUCAAAACAGCUUCCUGCAACCUCCCACUAGGAAGAUGAGCAAUUAGUAUAAUGACAGCAAUAAGUCAAAGAUACUUAAUGCUGAAACUUGCGUAACAACUUUUUUUUUCCUGGUUCUCUGCUGGGCCAUAGGCAAAGAACAGUUUAAUGCAUGUUCCAAUUGCUGAAAACGCACUGUCCAAAAGAUCUUUGCUCGCUGUCAUUAGUUUGAUGUCAUGCAAUGAUCCAACAAAGUUGCAGGGCACUGUGACUAGGUGGGGGCCUUUCCGUAUGAGGUACAGUCAUGGAGAUAGAAGUGUUGUGAACAAAAUGGAAAGCAAAGAUCCUCACUGUGAGUUGAUCUGCUAGUAAUAAAGGUGCUACCAGAGAAGAUUCUACCUAAUUUUCUGUCAGGAAUAUUCCAAUAACCCAAGGUCAGGAAAUCACAGAAUCACAGAAUAUUAGGGGUUGGAAGAGACCUCCGAGGAUCAUCGAGUCCAACCCCCCUGCCAGAGCAGGACCCAAAAAAACUAGUGCAAAUUAGUCAGAAAGGCAUCCAGACAGGUCUUGAAAGUCUCCAGAGAAAGAGACUCCAUAGAAACACGUUUUUGAAAAGCAUGAAAAAAGGAAUGAACUAGCCCCCUCUUUUGGCUAAUUUGAAAACAGUAGUAGGAACUGGUAUUUGCUAAAUUACAGGUUCUGAAAGUACUCUUUCUUUCACCUAUGAGUCCAUUAUGCUGUCAGGUAUCAUUUAUGCACAUAGCUGCUGGGCCUCCAUUGUAAGUAGGUGUUCUUUUUAGACAUAGAUUUCCCAGUUAAAUCGAGAUUUUGGGUCUUGGUUCCAUGUCUACAGACACUCCCUGCAUCUACUGGUUCUGCAGCUGAUACUAUUUGCUUGAACAGGAACCUCAAAGGUGUGUGCAAGAUCUUCUCAGCACAGAAUUUACAGGAGUAAAUUAAUUGUGGGAAGAAUCUCCUGGGUACUGUUGUGGGUCUGGAAAGACAUUCUGUCACUGCAUGGGAAGACACAGCUUCAUAUAACACUUUUUAAGGGUUGAGGAGAAAUACCUGUUUUUGAAAGCCAUAUUUAACAUUAAGCCCACUAGUUCCUUCUUCUGCAAAAUGGCGUAGAUUGGUGACAAAAUUUAACUGUGACAGAAGCUAUUAAUCCUUCCCUGUGAUUUCUAGAAGAACUUGCAAAUAUUUCUAAGUAAUAGAAACAGUGGGCAGAGCUAGUACUCUGCCUCCCUAGUAGAACUGGUUUGAAAAAACUAGUUAUACCUUGCAGAAAAUUUUUGGGAAAAAAAAGUCUUCUGAUUUACUCGUUAUAAAAUGUUUAAAAAAUAAAAUAUUGAAAUAAAA